GAAAUGCGAUAAGUAGUGUGAAUUGCAGAAUUCAGUGAAUCAUCGAAUCUUUGAACGCACAUUGCGCCCCUUGGUAUCCCAGGGGGCAUGCCUGUUCGAGCGUCAUUUCUACCAUUCAAGCUUUGCUUGGUUUUGAAUAUAUUGUAGUACUUUAAGUAGUUAUACAUAUUCUAAAUAUAGACGGCAGCAAGUAUAAGUUCUAAGCGUAGCAGUAAAACAUUUCGCUUUUGCACUUAUAUUUUGUUAAACCGAAAUAAAGUAUAUUUACAGUUUGACCUCGGAUCAGGCAGGGAUACCCGCUGAACUUAA
rnacentral:misc_RNA from 1 species